ensembl:rRNA 5S_rRNA 5S ribosomal RNA
GUCUGUAGCUAUACCACCCUGAACAUGUCCAAUCUCUUCUGAUCUCGGAAACUAAAUAGGGUCAAGCCUCAUUAGUACUUGGAUGGGAGACUGCCAGAGAAUACCAGGUGCUGUAGGCU